AGGGAAGCUUCACACAACACAAAAACACUCUCUCUCCUUUCUUGUUGGCCGGCCGAACCCCUCAAGGAAGAAGGGAAGAAAAAGCUUCACUUCAUCUUGCUUCAUCUUGCUCCAUUUCACUUCCAAACUUGCACCCAACUUCAAAAUCUCUUGGAGAUCAACUUUAGCUUGAAGGAAGACAUCAUCUAGUGGAGUUUCUUGGAGGUUUUGUGGUGAAAAUUUCUGGUUUCUACAAGCGUUAGAGGUAAACCCAUCAACUCUUCUAAUCUUUCCAUUUAAUCGAAGUUUAGUGGUUGGAUUUGCAUGGGUUUGAAACCCUAAGCAUGAAAUAGGCUAGCGGACUUGAGGUGUUUCAUUUCUUAUUUUAAACUCUAGGCUAGCAGACUUGAUGAUACCUUUAGGUAGCUGCCUUGAGGUGUAAUUAGUUGAUUGUGGUUGUUUAUGUGUUAUUUGAGAUGAAUACGGUUAGAAAGUGAAGGAAAAAUCGAACGAAGAAUGGAAGUGCAAGCUGGCCGAAUCUGUCCUGUGGUUAACUUGCUUGUAUUUCAAAUUUUUGUUGGCUGUUUGGCUGUGAAAUUGAGGGAUAUAUGUUUUAUAUUAUGUGUACAAAGUGCCUUGCGAAAAUCAUUUCAAUUGGUUGCUCAAAACUAGAGUUUUUGAAAAAGAAAGAAAUCUGGAAAUGGUAAUUUAGGCAGCCGAACAGUAACUCUUCAUUCGAACAUAACUUGCUGUACAAAAUUUGAAAUCGAGUGCCGUUAGUGGCAAUAAAAACUAGACAUCCAUAGCUUUCUAACGGCAUAAAAAUCAUUUGCUAGUUCGAACUGAGUGAACCGUAGUGAUUCAGCAAAUUUGACUAUCCUGUUCUAAUUGUCUGUCCGAGAGGAAUGGAGAAGCUGCAUCUUGUGGCCCUAUUUUCUCUUACUUGUGGACUGAUUUUGAAAAUUUUUUCUUCUGAUGAAAUGUAGAAUUUUGAACCUAGUUCCAACGCCAGUAACUAUUCCCAAUUUGAACUUGUAUUGAGUGAGAUGUGAUCUGAUUUCAAAAGUGCAACAAAGCUGGGAAACUGGACAGUUUUUCCCUUCUUGCUAGCCGAUUGGUUAGGUUUGUUUUGGGAUGUUUUAUUUCAAAAAUUUUGAUGUCAAUUGGAACCCUGGUUUCAAAAAUGGAUCGAAUUGGGACUGAUUUCAUUGUGCAAAACGUUUGGAAAAGAAAGAAAAGUAAGAGGGCAGAAUUGCCUUGAAACAUUUUUCAAACUUUGGUAGUCUUGUUAACUGCCUUCCCACGUGAGUUUUUGCGUGAAAUUUAAUAUAGGGGUAGUCCACUUAUGGAAGUUUAAGUGUACCAAUUUGGGUGGAAUUUCAAUACCAUUUCAAUACCCAAAUAACGCCCCAAAGAUGGCUCUUCAAAUCUGGAAAUUCACUGUUCACGUCGUGAAAAUCAACCGACUUUGAACUGUUGUAUCUUGUUGCUCAAAACUCCGAAUUUAGUUCCGUUUGUUAUGUUUGAAACCUUGUUUGGAACUUUUAUUGUGUUAUGAAUUUCAAAGGCUGAUUCAUUUUCUAUGAAUUUUGCCGAAUUUUCAAAUAUCGCCGAAAAACAAGACUGGUUCUGUCUUGCUUGUUUAAAUCAGCAACUUUGAGCUAAAAAAUGAAUGCUUACUGUUUGGAACCAUGUAAAAGUGUCUUCUAGGAACUUUGAUCUUAAAGUGUCUUCAAGAUCUGAUUUUACCAAAUUUGUCGCGCAAAGCUGAAAUUCUUGAUUUCUUAGAAAAUGAACUUUUAAGAACUCCCUCAUUUGCAAUUUGUUGAUCUUGAUCCCUAUCUUUUGAUGUUUACAAAACAAAUAAAUGAUACUAAUAUUUCUUCAAGAUAUACUUUCAGUUUUGAAGUUGUUUGAUUCCAUGAACAAGUGCAAUUGAAAGGGGACUAAGUAUGCUGAAGCUGUCGGACGCUCAAAUAGUCAGGAUCGGACGUCCGAAAGGAUGAAGAACAUCAAGAAGGAAACUCUGUCGGACGCUCGUAAGAAAGCAUCGGACGUCCUGAAGGAUCGGACGCAUGCUUCGGACGCACAUCAAUCUCAUCGGACGUCCUAAAAAUUCCACGAAGAUUUGAUAACUCUCUGGACGACGUUCGGACACAGAAGCUCGGACGAUAAAAUCCCAUCGGACGUCCGAACAACAACUUGACUGAUUUUCGGACGAUGGGAUCGGACGAUGACUAAGCCGUCGGACGUCCGACAGCCCCAACGGCUAGCUGACUCUUCAUCUGCCUUCUAUCCGUUGGAAGUAUUAAUGAAGCCCAUUUUUGGUUCCCUUUAAAUACAAACGAUUCUGAAUCAGACAAGAACUUUUGCACACUUUGUUUACAAGAUCUCAAGAGAUAUUUUAGUUAGAAAAUAGUCUCCAAAGCUAGAUUUGUAGUCUUAGUGGUGUGAGGUUCAUUGUAAGCUUUUCAUUUGUGAGUGAAUCUUUCAUGAGUGUAGCUCUGUGAGGGUUGUCCUGAGGGAUAGUAAAACGUCCUGGCUUGACCGAGUGGAGUUCGGGGCAAGGAGGAGGUGAACCUUCCUUUGUACACAAGAGUG
rnacentral:lncRNA from 1 species